rnacentral:rRNA from 1 species
CUAUUCACAAGAGUGACGGGCGAUAUGUACUUUUGUUAUAGCCUUUUCAAUAAAUAAUUUUAUUUUUUAUUUACUUUCACAUCCAAAUUCAAAAAUAAUUAAAAAAUUUAUCCUAUUAAAGUAACUCAUUAACCUCUACUUUAUAAUCUACACAUUGACCUGAAAUAAGAAAAAAUAUAGUAUAAAAAUAUUUAAAUCAAAAUAAUAACAGCCGUACAUAAAAUUAAAAAUAGAAAAAAUAAAAGCGGGCUAUCUAUUAUAGAAAACAAAUUCCUGUGAAAGGUUAACAAACCGCCAGAAAUAUUAAG